rnacentral:rRNA from 1 species
CUCCGACCGGAGACGGAAGGAGUGCUUUUAUUAGAUCAAAACCAAUCGGUGGCGGGUUCGCUCGUCAUCGUACAACUUGGUGACUCUGAAUAACUUUAUGCUGAUCGCACGGUCUCGCACCGGCGACGCAUCUUUCAAAUGUCUGCCUUAUCAACUGUCGAUGGUAGGUUCUGCGCCUACCAUGGUUGUAACGGGUAACGGGGAAUCAGGGUUCGAUUCCGGAGAGGGAGCCUGAGAAACGGCUACCACAUCCAAGGAAGGCAGCAGGCGCGCAAAUUACCCACUCCCGGCACGGGGAGGUAGUGACGAAAAAUAACGAUACGGGACUCAUCCGAGGCCCCGUAAUCGGAAUGAGUACACUCUAAACCCUUUAACGAGGAUCAAUUGGAGGGCAAGUCUGGUGCCAGCAGCCGCGGUAAUUCCAGCUCCAAUAGCGUAUAUUAAAGUUGUUGCGGUUAAAAAGCUCGUAGUCGAAUCUGUGUCCCACGCCGCCGGUUCAUCGUCCGCGGUGUCAACUGGCGUGUCGCGGGACGUCCUGCCGGUGGGCUUAGCUCGCGAGAGCGGCCCAACUCAAUCCUGCCGCGGUGCUCUUCACUGAGUGUCGAGGUGGGCCGGCACGUUUACUUUGAACAAAUUAGAGUGCUUAAAGCAGGCUAAAACUUCGCCUGAAUACUGUGUGCAUGGAAUAAUGGAAUAGGACCUCGGUUCUAUUUUGUUGGUUUUCGGAACCCCGAGGUAAUGAUUAAUAGGAACGGAUGGGGGCAUUCGUAUUGCGACGUUAGAGGUGAAAUUCUUGGAUCGUCGCAAGACGGACAGAAGCGAAAGCAUUUGCCAAAAACGCUUUCAUUGAUCAAGAACGAAAGUUAGAGGUUCGAAGGCGAUCAGAUACCGCCCUAGUUCUAACCAUAAACGAUGCCAGCUAGCGAUCCGUCGACGUUCCUCCGAUGACUCGACGGGCAGCUUCCGGGAAACCAAAGCUUUUGGGUUCCGGGGGAAGUAUGGUUGCAAAGCUGAAACUUAAAGGAAUUGACGGAAGGGCACCACCAGGAGUGGAGCCUGCGGCUUAAUUUGACUCAACACGGGAAACCUCACCAGGCCCGGACACCGGAAGGAUUGACAGAUUGAGAGCUCUUUCUUGAUUCGGUGGGUGGUGGUGCAUGGCCGUUCUUAGUUGGUGGAGCGAUUUGUCUGGUUAAUUCCGAUAACGAACGAGACUCUAGCCUGCUAACUAGGCGUAUUUUGACAUCGCAAAGGCCCGCCGGUAUUGGGGUUCGCUCCUUUAUCGCGCGCGGUUUUUACUGUCGGCGUACAAACAAUUCUUCUUAGAGGGACAGGCGGCUUCUAGCCGCACGAGAUUGAGCAAUAACAGGUCUGUGAUGCCCUUAGAUGUUCUGGGCCGCACGCGCGCUACACUGAAGGAAUCAGCGUGUCCUCCCUGGCCGAGCGCCCGGGUA